rnacentral:tRNA from 1 species
GUCGGAGUGGCGGAAAGGCAGACGCGCUAGCUUGAGGUGCUAGUGCCCUAUAUUGGGCGUGGGGGUUCAAGUCCCCCCUCCGACA